rnacentral:rRNA from 1 species
CCUACGGGAGGCAGCAGUGAGGAAUAUUGGUCAAUGGGCGCGAGCCUGAACCAGCCAAGUCGCGUGAGGGAAGACGGUCCUAUGGAUUGUAAACCUCUUUUGUCUGGGAGCAAAAGACGCCACGCGUAGCGUUCUGAGAGUACCCGAAGAAAAAGCAUCGACUAACUCCGUGCCAGCAGCCGCGGUAAUACGGAGGGUGCAAGCGUUACCCGGAAUCACUGGGCGUAAAGAGCGCGUAGGCGGGAUAGCAAGUCAGAUGUGAAAGCCUAUGGCUGAACCAUAGAACUGCAUUUGAAACUGGCAUUCUAGAGUAAGGGAGAGGUAGGUGGAAUUCUUGGUGUAGGGGUGAAAUGCGUAGAGAUCAAGAGGAAUACUCAUUGCGAAGGCGGCCUGCUGGAACAUAACUGACGCUGAUGCGCGAAAGCGUGGGGAGCAAACAGGAUUAGAUACCCCAGUAGUC